CCCAUAAAUGUAAACAGUUGUAACACCAUCACAUGCAGUCCGGAAUAUUUCCACCCGCCUCCCCCCAAAGGAUUCCUUGUACCCACCUGCCGUCGUUUAAAAAAGACGUCCUCGUGGGUAUGAAACGUGUCUCCUUGUGAUUUCAAUUUGCAUUUCCCAACGGACGCGGGUAUGGAGCAUUUCCGUGUCUUAGUACUGACCCGUGCAUUUCCUUUCGUGGAAGGUCUUUUCCAGUCUGGCUCAUUUCCAAACUGGUGUUACUUGCCUUUUUGCCGUUGAUCGGCGAGAUUCCUUACAUAUUGUGCGUGAGUCCCUUGUUUGGGAUCCGCAUGCUGAACGUUUGUUUCUCUCAGUGUGUAGCCUGCUGAUUCACUUGGUUAAUGGUACACAUCGGAGAGAAGACACAUACCUUUUGAUUAAGUUGGCCUGUUCGUUUUUAAAAAUCUCAUGAGUGUUGUUUUCCGUGUUCUGAGAAGCCUUUGUGAGCUGGGGAACCUCGCUGCGCCUCCCACGCAGGGCUCCUCCCUUCUCCCCGGAUGAGUGGGUUUUCCCCGCAUCAAAGCAGUUCUCUGUCCCGCCAGCCGGAUGUUUUCCAGCGUAACCCGCUUCUGACCCUGCGCACCUGGAGACAGCCUCGGAUCCCACGGGGUGAGGGCUCGGCCCCACGAGACUGCCCAGCCUCCUUCGGGGGCCACUUGUAGGUCCUGACCAGCCAGCUCUGAGUCCGAGGUUCCCACGGCCCCCUCUUCGGGUUCGAUCACUUUGCUGGGUGGCUCCCAGACCUCAGGAAACAGGUCUCCUGUUAGGGGCAGCACCGGUCAUCACUCAAUUUCCAGGCCCUCUCCAGAGAACAGAGGAUGAAACUGAAAAUUCUAAGCUUUUAUUCAUAGCUUGGUCUUUCUGGCGACCAGCCCCCAUCCAGAAGCCACCAAGAGCCACCUCCUUAGAACAAAGGACGUUCCUAUCACCCAGGCGAUGCCGAAGGAUUUAGGAGUUCUGCGCCAGAAACAGGGGCAGAGCCCUACACACGGGUCUGUCCUGUUAUUUCAUACGUCGUCUGCCCCAAGUCUUGAAGAUGGCUUACUGUUACCACGUUUAAGUUUGAUUCCACUGGAUUGGAGAAUAUAACCUGUAUGAUUUCCGUCUUCCUGUGUGUUUUGAGACAUGCUUUAUGGGCAAGCAAAUGGCCUGUCCUGGCGACCAUUCCUUGCAUUCCUGGGAAGAAUGUGAGUUGUUGAUGGGGUGACCCCUCGAUGGUGCGCAAGGCCCUCCUUCACAUCUUCUGUAUUCUUCGGGCCUGAAGACAGUGAGGAGGGCUCCGAGUACAUGCUCUGUGCUGGUGGGGCGGGCGGACAGGGUCUCCCUGCAAGGAACCAGGCUUUGCUGUAACAUGCCAAUUCAGAACCCACGUAUCUCACGCUUAGAGACCGUCUACAGCAGCAGAUGAAAGUUACUCGAUUUCUUUAAGUCGACUACUUGUUAAGGGCGUCAGGUGUGUCUGUCCUGGCUGGGGAGCUGGGGGGGGGGGGACAAGUUUUCAUCAGGGGACGG